rnacentral:RNase_P_RNA from 1 species
GAGGCAAUCGCUGCCGCUUUGGUAGAGGAAAGUCCAUGCUCACACUAUCUGUGAUGAUAGUAAUGAUUGCGCUGAUAUAAUAAAUAAAGUCAGGCAUAGACGGCGAUUACUAAUCCUAAGUAGAAAUAUAUGGAUGAGGAUCUUAAGGUGCAACAGUGACGAAGUUUAUUGGAAACAAUAAAGUGGAACGAUGUAAACCCCGCAAGUGAGAAACCCAAAUUUGGUAGGGGAACCCAAAGUUUUUCAAAUAAGAAGAAAACAGGGAGGCUUUAGCCUAGAUAAAUGAUUGCCCUUGAUUAAUCAAGACAGAACAUGGCUUACU